GCGUGGGAGAGCACACAGGAUUAGAUACCCUGGUUGUCCACGCCCUAAACGAUGUCAACUAGCUGUUGGGGCCUUCGGGCCUUGGUAGCGCAGCUAACGCGUGAAGUUGACCGCCUGGGGAGUACGGUCGCAAGAUUAAAACUCAAAGGAAUUGACGGGGACCCGCACAAGCGGUGGAUGAUGUGGAUUAAUUCGAUGCAACGCGAAAAACCUUACCUACCCUUGACAUGUCUGGAAUGCCGAAGAGAUUUGGCAGUGCUCGCAAGAGAACCGGAACACAGGUGCUGCAUGGCUGUCGUCAGCUCGUGUCGUGAGAUGUUGGGUUAAGUCCCGCAACGAGCGCAACCCUUGUCAUUAGUUGCUACGAAAGGGCACUCUAAUGAGACUGCCGGUGACAAACCGGAGGAAGGUGGGGAUGACGUCAAGUCCUCAUGGCCCUUAUGGGUAGGGCUUCACACGUCAUACAAUGGUCGGGACAGAGGGUCGCCAACCCGCGAGGGGGAGCCAAUCCCAGAAACCCGAUCGUAGUCCGGAUCGCAGUCUGCAACUCGACUGCGUGAAGUCGGAAUCGCUAGUAAUCGCGGAUCAGCAUGUCGCGGUGAAUACGUUCCCGGGUCUUGUACACACCGCCCGUCACGCCAUGGGAGUGGGUUUAGCAGAGAGAUUAGUUACUCUCGGCAAGUCUAUAGUACAGCA
rnacentral:rRNA from 1 species